rnacentral:rRNA from 1 species
AUGGCGGACCGCGGCGGCGAGCGUGGCGUCGACCGCGGCGGCUUCGGACGCGGCUUCGGGCGCGGCGGGCGCGGGGACCGUGGCGGGCGCCGCGGCGGCCGCCGCGGCCCCCGCCAGGAGGAGGAGAAGUGGGUGCCCGUCACCAAGCUCGGCCGCCUCGUCAAGGAGGGCCGCUUCACCAAGAUGGAGGAGAUCUACCUCCACUCGCUCCCCGUCAAGGAGCACCAGAUCGUGGAGACGCUCUGCCCGGGGCUCAAGGACGAGGUGAUGAAGAUCACCCCGGUCCAGAAGCAGACCCGCGCCGGACAACGCACCCGCUUCAAGGCCUUCGUCGUCGUCGGCGACAGCAACGGCCACGUCGGCCUCGGCGUCAAGUGCGCCAAGGAGGUGGCCACGGCCAUCCGUGGCGCCAUCAUCCUCGCCAAGCUCUCCAUCGUGCCCGUCAGGAGGGGCUACUGGGGGAACAAGAUCGGCCUGCCCCACACCGUGCCCUGCAAGGUCACCGGCAAGUGCGGCUCCGUCACCGUGCGCAUGGUGCCCGCCCCCAGGGGUUCCGGAAUCGUCGCCGCCCGCGUCCCCAAGAAGGUCCUGCAGUUCGCCGGGAUUGAUGAUGUCUUCACUUCCUCGCGUGGAUCCACCAAGACCCUUGGCAACUUCGUCAAGGCAACCUUCGACUGCCUGAUGAAGACCUAUGGAUUCCUCACCCCUGACUUCUGGAGGGAGACAACCUUCACCAAGGCGCCGUACCAGGAGUUCACCGACAUCUUGGCGAAGCCGACCAAGGCCCUGAUGCUUGAUGCACCAGCCGAGAAGGUAGAAGCUUAG